CAAUUUUUAAAAUUAAAGUUAAAGCAAAUUUUGAAACCUUUAGCUUCAAUAAGAUUUCAGAAUUAAACCUUAAAAAUAAAGAAAUCUAUUCCCUGCCUAAUCAUACACACACUAUUCUAAAUACCUUUUACUUUACUCAUGCAUUAUCUAAGUAUCUCAUCAAAUGCCAGAGAUCGGGAGAGCA